rnacentral:tRNA from 1 species
GGGGUUGUGGCUCAAGUGGUAGAGUGCUCGCCUAAGACACGUGAGGUACUGGGUUCGAUCCUCAGCACCACA